rnacentral:rRNA from 1 species
GACGAACGCUGGCGGCGUGCUUAACACAUGCAAGUCGAACGGUGAGGCGCCAUGCUUUUUGGUGGGUGGGGAUGAGCGGCGAAGGGGUGAGUAAGAGGAGAGUAACCUGCCACCUCCGGCUGGAUAACGGGAUGAAAGAGCGGAUAAUACGGAAUAUUCUGGGCCGGUUGCAUGAUGGGUCAGGGAAAGAUAUGGUUUCGGUGAGGGAUGGGCUCGCGGCGCAUUAGCUAGUUGGUAGGGUAACGGCUUACCAAGGCGACGAUGCGUAGCCGGCCUGAGAGGGUGAUCGGCCACACUGGUACUGCGACGCGGUCCCGCCUCCUACGGCAGGCAGCAGUAGGGGAUCUUACGGCACGGGCGGAGGCCUGACGGUGCAGCGCCGCGUCAGUGGUGAUGGUCUCCUGCUCGUAGAGCUCUUCUUUCGGCAGUGAACAAGUGUGGCAGUAACUGUGCGCGUCUUGACGGUAGCUAAUCAGAAAGCCCCGGCUAACUACGUG